GAUGAACGCUGACAGAAUGCUUAACACAUGCAAGUGGUGGCGGACGGGUGAGUAACGCGUAGGUAACUGCCUGGUAGCGGGGGAUAACUAUUGGAAACGAUAGCUAAUACCGCAUACUACCAGAUGGACCUGCGUUGUAUUAGCUAGUUGGUGGGGUAACGGCUCACCAAGGCAACGAUACAUAGCCGACCUGAGAGGGUGAUCGGCCACACUGGGACUGAGACACGGCCCAGACUCCUACGGGAGGCAGCAGUAGGGAAUCUUCGGCAAUGGGGGGAACCCUGACCGAGCAACGCCGCGUGAGUGAAGAAGGUUUUCGGAUCGUAAAGCUCUGUUGUUAAGGAAGCGGUACUUAACCAGAAAGGGACGGCUAACUACGUGCCAGCAGCCGCGGUAAUAC
rnacentral:rRNA from 1 species